rnacentral:rRNA from 1 species
UACGUAGGGUGCAAGCGUUGUCCGGAAUUAUUGGGCGUAAAGGGCUCGUAGGCGGUCCGUCACGUCGGGAGUGAAAUCCUGGGGCUUAACCCCAGAACUGCUUCCGAUACGGGCAGACUAGAGGUAGGUAGGGGAGAAUGGAAUUCCUGGUGUAGCGGUGGAAUGCGCAGAUAUCAGGAGGAACACCGAUGGCGAAGGCAGGUCUCUGGGCCACUACUGACGCUGAGAAGCGAAAGCAUGGGGAGCGAACAGG